AACUAACUAGGAUUCCCUCAGUAGCUGCGAGCGAACAGGGAUAAGCCCAGCACCGAAUCCCGCGGCCGAUACCGGACGCCGGGAAAUGUGGUGUUCGGGAGGGUCCAUUAUCCCGAGGUUAUGCGACGCGUCCAAGUCCUUCUUGAACGGGGCCACAGCCCAUAGAGGGUGCCAGGCCCGUAGUGACCGUCGCUGAUCGCGGGAGGAUCUCUCCUCAGAGUCGGGUUGCUUGAGAGUGCAGCCCUAAGUGGGUGGUAAACUCCAUCUAAGGCUAAAUAUGACCACGAGACCGAUAGCGAACAAGUACCGUGAGGGAAAGUUGAAAAGCACUUUGAAGAGAGAGUUCAAGAGUACGUGAAACCGUUUAGGGGUAAACCUGAGAAACCCGAAAGGUCGAAGGGAGAAAUUCAUUCGCGUUUCGACGCAGGCGCCGUGCGGUCGCGUGACGGAAAACGUUCGCGUUUUCCGCGCCCUCCGCGCGUGCGGCGGCGAACGCGUGCACUUUUCUCCUGGUAGGACGUCGCGAUCCGUUGGGUGUCGGUCUACGGCUUGCGGUGGAGCCCGGUCGUCGUCUUUACGACGUACGAACGGACCCGCAUGUCCCGGCCGACUCGCUCGACGGUAUACGAAAGGUUUAAGGCCGCUCUCGGAGCGUUCGGCUCGCUGCAAGCGCGCCAGAUGUGUCGGCGAUCGGACCUAGUGCCGGUUCUGACCUCUGGUGACUGUUGGCCGCGAUGUUCUCGAACAGACC
rnacentral:rRNA from 1 species